CUCCAAUCUUUGUGACAAGUAAAAGUGUUCUGAUAUGUAAUUCUGUGUCAUUGUCAUCUGUCAUGUUAUCAGUAUUACCAGUUUUCGUCAUCGGAAUUUCGUAAUAGUUGCUUCAGUCACAGUUUCGAGUUCUUUUUGUAAAUAUACUAAUAUAAAAUUGCCUAAAGACUAAGAUACCUGUUACAGGCAAUAGGUGAGCUCCUUGUUGAUAUUUUUUUCUUGCCAGCCUGCUCAAAAACAAAGCAAAAUUUAACCUUUCUUUGUGGAUUGGAAAGAUGGACAUCAUAAAUGGAAACAAGUUGAGCAAGUUUCCAUAAGCAAGAAAAUCAAGCUGGGGCCAAAGGGAAUUGUUUGCCUAAUAAACAUAAUAGUCAAUUGUUACUAGUCAAACAUGACUGUUUUGUCAAACAGCCAUUGGAUCCUAAUGUUUCCCUGUCUGUUUGUUCGUAAGUUAAUAUCCUUUACUUGAUGGAACAUUAUGAUUUUAAUACAAACUAGUAAUUUUUUGGGGAUCAGUGAGAAGAGAAAUUAUGUCAGAUUGUUUUUAUAUAAUUUUCCAUUUAUAAUAAUAACAGUUGCAGGUCAGCUUCUUUUCGUUAACUCCGACGUCAUCCAGGAAUUCUUACCUCGAGGAGUAAGUGCUUACGGCGAUGGUCUUGAAAAUGGUCAACUUCUUCAUAUUCCUCUAGGUGAUGGUGAUGUAAACCAGUCUUUGUUGUUUACGUAUUUCGCCAAUGUAACUAAAGGGUGUUCCUGGACUAAUGUCACGUUAUUUCUACGACACGAUGGGUUACCAAUUGUCAAUGUCUUUAACGCGAGCUAUCCUAAUUUCACUUGGGUUUAUCAACCCAUCGACUACGAAGAAAACUUCCUCAGUGAUGGCCUACAGCAACGGUUGACAAUUCAUCCUCGCCAACCUUCCUCUUCGGUUAUCUUCGGAGUUGUAUUUUUUUUAGAAGAUGCUGCUCGCAUCCAACAGCAAGGAUUGACCAAGUCAUGCACUACUCUAUUUUGGGGUAGAGUUGAAACUCUACCCCUUAACGUUAGUUCAAUAUCAGUUAGCGAGCGUGUUGACGAGACGGCCGCGAAGCUCGUGAGGAAAAACUAUGUCCAACCGCUCAGUGCUAAAUGGGUUUUAGAUCACAAUAAAGGAGACGAUAACAUAUCGGCCAACACAGAAUCCAUUCUUGAUCUCAAAUCCAGUGAUAUUCCAACUUUUCUAUCAUGGACAAUUUUAUCUCCUACGGAUAUAGGAGGAACAUUACAAGUCGAUAUUAAAUUCAAUCAGGACGAGCGGAACAGUAGCGUAUUUGGCUAUCUUGCUUUUGGUACGCAAGAAAACCCCAAUAGAACUCAAUUUAGUGCCAAUAGCUCCGAGGUGAUUCCAAAGGCCACUAUCAUUGUUCCUUACCCACUGGCAGGCGUAUGGUAUUUGUCUCUCUUCGCAAACUGCACCGAAUGGAAUGAGUCCGACUGUCAACGGAACAUUUCCGUCAAAGUCCAGAUUUCUUUAUCGCCGUGUAAAGAGGGAGCGUGCGGACCUCAUGGUCGCUGCAUCCAAUACUUUUCUGCCGGACUAAUUUAUUCUGCUUGUGUUUGCUCUAGUGGUUUUGCUGGUUGGAGUUGUAGUGAUGGAUCAAACGCUCUAUCUACUGCAAUACUGCUAACGUCCGUCCUUCUCCUAACGUUGAGCAAUCUCUUUUUCAUUCCAGCAAUCUUUCUAGCAUUUCGGAGAGGUUUCUAUUCACAGUGUUUACUUUAUUUCGUGACAAUGUUUUUCUCUUCGUUUUACCACGCUUGCGAUCAACCGGAGUUCAAUUUUUGUCUAAUGCCAUACACCGUUCUGCAGUUUGGCGAUUUCUACUCGGCUUUAACUUCAGUUUGGUUAACUGCUUUCAUUGUAGCCAAUCCAAGCGUUAGUGAAGAGAUUUCUAGCGCAAUGUGUAUUGGUGGUGCUGUUGGAAUAGCUAUGGCAGUGCAUUACAAUUCAACGUCAUUAGCAUCAUUUACUAUACCAAUCGUUUGCGGCCUUGGUCUCAUUGCUAUCUGCUGGACUCGUCAGAGCUGUCAGAUGCACAAGUGUUACCCUGGAAAGUCCUACUGUUUGAAGGCUGUGCUCCCUUGCCUAUUAUUUUCCAUUGUUGGAUUAGUUUGUUUCGCAUUCCUCGAAACCGAAGACAACUACUUUUAUGUCCACAGCAUCUGGCACAUUUCGAUUGCUCUGGCCAUUGUAUUUGUUAUUCCGCCAGAGGGUAAGAAAUUCGACAUCACAAAACCUCCGUCCAUUGAUCACGAACCUCUCUCACUCUGAUUGGGUAAUAAGAGAAGAAUGAUAAUCUUCUUACUAAAAUUAAAAUAGGACUAAUUGUUAAAUUGUGUGCAUAAAUUUGAAAUUGUUACCAAUAUUUAACGUUUAGUUUUUCAGGUAUCCAGACUUGCAUUUAAGUUUCGUUGUUUUCAAUUUCUAAUUAAAUGGAUACAACGGUAAAUCAUGCAUUUACACUAACCUUUGUUUUAUAUCCUGUCACACAAAUUUUCUCUAUAUUUCUUUAUCAUAAAUUUUCCCUAUUGAAUAUGUUUAAUUUCAGUAUUUUUCUUGUAGAUUAUCUUGUGAAGGCCGGAAGAGUAAAACUUGCGCUUUUUAAUGUAAAAAUUAGACGCAUCCACGAUCAUUUUUUAUUCUUUCAAGAAAUAUAAAGAAAGGUUUGACCUUCAGCGCAUAAAAGAAAAAAAUAUAUUUGAAGGCAUGGAAAGUCUGGAGGUUGCGGGAGGUUGAGAGAGAAAAACGUUUACGUCCAGCCUUCGUAGUUGCAUUUCAUUUUCGAAUUCUCAGUUCUUUGAGAAGGUUGUGGUAACUUAGUUUUUUUUUAAGGGAGUUUCUUACAUUAUCCCACAGGAAGCCUUGAAAAGGCUCGCCCUGAAGCGGCAUGUGUCAUUUUUCUUAACAAAAUUUGUGUUAAAGUUGCGUCUGCUGUCGUCUGCUGUGAACCACGUGUUUACUGUUUCACUCUAGAGCAUUGUAGAGUAGGCAGAGUGCAGUAGAAGAGAGAGACUGGACAUUGAAAGUCUGUUAUUUGUGUUGAUCUUGUAUUUUUAAGUGAUGGCGAAGCGUAACUCGGGUCAUUUUGAACCGUUUCCAUAUAAUCAUGAAUACUACGCACUCCUUCGUAUUAAAGAGAAU